CUUUGCUGUAGUUUGAAGUCCUGCGGCUGUCCAGAGGCUGCUUUUAUCCUGGGUCUCUACUGGCUCAUUGGUGGUCUAGGCCGGGAAUAACACUGGCAACUAGCUCCAAGGACCUUCAACCUUUGGGAGAAGAAAUAAAAUGAAAACAGGCAAUUUGGUUCCAAUUCAUGGCCUGAUUAGUGGUUUGGGAGAUGUGGGUGCAGGGCCAGAUUGAAAUUGUCAUUAAUAACAAAGUAUUACCUGAAUCU